GGUUUCCGCCAGGAAUCUAACCAGGACCUAUGGCUUGAAAAACCACCGUUGUUAUUCAACUACAGAAAC
rnacentral:tRNA from 1 species